rnacentral:tRNA from 1 species
GUUUCCAUAAUGUGGUGGUCAUCACGUGCUCCUAACAGGCGCAAGUUCCCCAGUUCGAUCCUGGGCGGAACA